CUCAAAUAAGAUAGGCCUCCCAGGUUAACUAAUUUCAGAGCAAUUUUUCAGAUUUAGAAAAUUGGAGUCAGGCGCAGUGGCUCACGCCUGUAAUCCCAGCACUUUGGGAGGCCGAGGCGGGCAGAUCACCUGAGGUCAGGAGUUCAAGACCAGCCUGGCCAAAAUGAGUUUUUCUCUGUCACCUAGAUUGAAGUGCAAUACUGUGAUCAUGGCUUACUACAGCCUCAGCUUCCCAAACGAUCCUUCUAAUCUCAGCCUCCUGAGUAGCUGGGACCACAGGAAUGUGCCAUCUUGCUUGUCUAACUAAAAAAAAAUUUUUUAUUUUAGACAUGGAGUCUCACUAUUUUGCCCAGGCUGGUGUCAAACUCCUGGGCCCAAGGAAUUUACUUGUUUUGGCCUCCUAAAUCCCCUUGGAUUAUAGGUAUGAGCCACUGUGCCCAGUCUAAGUAGAAUUUUAAAAAUCUCCUUUUCUAAAGAAAAUUGAAUUUGUUGAUAGUAAAGUUUUAAAAUUGGGAAGUUAUAUUGAAAUGUGUCUGGUGCAACCAGUGGAGUUUAAAUUAUUUUUGACCAAAAUGGAUUCUGAAGAAAUGGUAUGGAUAGAAAACAAAGAAUAUUUGAUUAAGUGAAACAAAGCCCCAGCUGCUGGAGCAGAGGUUCCACUUGGGUUCCACAGACACCCACAGCCCAAAUCCCUGGAGGCCUAAGGCAAUAGCUAAUUGAGACUAUGCAUCACUAUUAAGGCAUCUUCACUAAAGGGCGCUGUGGAAACGCUGCCUGAGAUGCAGACACCUGUCAGAAGGGGGCUAAAUUUCAAACAAGGAACGUGGUGUUGCAUCACAAUAAAGUAGAUUCUAGUAUUACCUUCCUUUUUCAGAAGAGGAGACCAAUGGGGAGCAUUGGAAUGAUUUGGUUGCAAGCAUACUACACUACUUGUAAACUGCAGACACAGGCUUAAAAAAAGUGAAAAACUAACCAUGCAAUAAAGAAU
rnacentral:lncRNA from 1 species